UACGAAGGGGGCUAGCGUUGCUCGGAUUGACUGGGCGUAAAGGGCGCGUAGGCGGUUCGUACAGUCAGACGUGAAAUUCCUGGGCUCAACCUGGGGGCUGCGUUUGAUACGUGCGGACUUGAGUGCGGAAGAGGGUCGUGGAAUUCCCAGUGUAGAGGUGAAAUUCGUAGAUAUUGGGAAGAACACCGGUGGCGAAGGCGGCGACCUGGUCCGAUACUGACGCUGAGGCGCGAAAGCGUGGGGAGCAUACAGG
rnacentral:rRNA from 1 species